GCUCAACUUGAUUUGAAAUGAUUGGCUAUUCAACCGAAUACACAGUGCCAUAUUUGGGUUACUGUUAAAAGUAAAUCGUUCGUUUUGUAUUCGAGAAGACUUGAAUGAAGAGGAUUACACAAUACUGAGGUGGAAAACAUCGGUAUAAUAUGAUAAUAUAUAUUUCAGUAUUUUAAAGUAAAGUUUGUCAAAUGAACGGGACAUAUUACUGAUAUUACCUCUUAUAAACAAAACCAAUAAGCGUAUGACUUAUUCAGGGCACUUGCAAUGUAUGGGAACCAGUCUACAAGGCCACAAAAUUCCGCCAAGAAUAAACAAAGAAAUUGCGGGAUGUUGUUUACGUGUGUCACUCGACACUGACUGCAAGAAACAAAGAGUGGAGAGCUAAUGCAUGGUGCUAAGUAUGGAAAGGUCUCUUGUGGAUUGGUUGUGCCAGAGACAAAUGUACAUUAUUUCUAUGUUGGGUCAGAAGUUUCGGUACACUUUGGGUGAGUGGCAGUUGGGAAGAUGGAUGACCUUCAGAUAGUUUGAGAUAAAGAAGUUUUUUUAAAUGAUUGAAAGUGAUCAUCACAGAAUCAACUCCAUUAUGAAGAUAAAUUACGAGCAAGUCAGCACUCCUUUUGUCCAACACCCGAGAGAUCUGAGUAUCCAUCCUACUGUUGAAUUAACUGGUGACCAAGAAAAGAUGACAGAGAGGGGAAUCAAAUAUGGAUGCCAUCGUGAUCAAGAAUAUACACACUGACUAGAAAAUAUCUGAAAAUUUAUAGACGAACAUUCAAGCAUUUAUAAUAAUGAAAGUUAUUCAGCAAGAGAGUUUUUGCACAAGUUUAAUUUCAGUAAAAUUGUGUAUAUUGUGCACAGAGGAACUUAGUAUGUAACUCAUUAUGAUUAUCCAUUUCUUUAGAGGAUGUAUUCGGAGUAUAUUUAAAUAAUCAUUAUCUUGUAGAAAAGAGCACACAAAACUUUUCUCUCUGUGUGAAGCAAGACACAUAUGCAUACACUCCAGCAUUAACCACAACCAAUGUUACAUAUUUUCCAGGGCAUGUGAAGUCGAGCACACACAACAUCUACCACAACACCAGUUACAUAUUUUCCAAGGCGUGUGAAGUCGAGCACAUACAUGAAAAUGUGUGAAGCUGGACACAUAUGCAAACACACAAGCAACCACCACAACCAAUUACAUAUUUUCCAAGGCGUGUGAAGUCGAGCACAUACAUGAAAAUGUGUGAAGCUGGACACAUAUGCAAACACACAAGCAUCUACCACAAUCAAUUACAUAUUUUCCAAGGCGUGUGAAGUCGAGCACAUACAUGAAAAUGUGUGAAGCUGGACACAUAUGCAAACAUACAAGCAUCUACCACAACCAAUUACAUAUUUUCCAAGGCAUGUGAAGUCGAGCACAUACAUGAAAAUGUGUGAAGCUGGACACAUAUGCAAACACACAAGCAUCCACCACAACCAAUUACAUAUUUUCCAAGGCGUGUGAAGUCGAGCACAUACAUGAAAAUGUGUGAAGCUGGACACAUAUGCAAACAUACAACAUGUGCCACAACACCAGUUACAUAUUUUCCAAGGCGUGUGAAGUCGAGCACAUACAUGAAAAUGUGUGAAGCUGGACACAUAUGCAAACAUACAACAUGUACCACAACACCAGUUACAUAUCUUCCAAGGCGUGUGAAGUCGAGCACAUACAUGAAAAUGUGUGAAGCUGGACACAUAUGCAAACACACAAGCAUCCACCACAACCAAUUACAUAUUUUCCAAGGCGUGUGAAGUCGAGCACAUGCAUGAAAAUGUGUGAAGCUGGACACAUAUGCAAACAUACAACAUGUGCCACAACACCAGUUACAUAUUUUCCAAGGCGUGUGAAGUCGAGCACAUACAUGAAAAUGUGUGAAGCUGGACACAUACGCAAGCACUCAAGCAUCUACCACAACCAGUUACAUAUUUUCCAAGGCGUGUGAAGAUGGACACAAUGCAAACACAAUCUCCUACCACAGACACAAUGCACAUAUAACAUU